rnacentral:tRNA from 1 species
GGCUGCCUGGCCGAGCGGUACGGCGAGCAGCUCGCCGAGUCGCUGCCGGAGGCCGACGCGGUGCUCGGGUUCGACUCCUACGCCGACCUC